GACGAACGCUGGCGGCGUGCUUAACACAUGCAAGUCGAACGGAAAGGCCCUGCUUUUGUUGGUUGCUCGAUUGGCGAACGGGUGAGUAACACGUGAGUAACCUGCCCUUGACUUUGGGAUAACUUCAGGAAACUGGGGCUAAUACCGGAUAUGAUCUCCUGCUCCAUGGUGGUGGUUGGAAAGUUUCGGCGGUUGUGGAUGGACUCGCGGCUUAUCCGCUUGUUGGUGGGGUAGUGGCUUACCAAGGCUUUGACGGGUAGCCUGCCUGAGAGGGUGAACGGGGACAAGGGGACUAAGGGACGGACCAGAAGGGUAUGGGAGGCAGCAGGGGGGAGUAUGGCAGAGUGGGCGGAAGCCAGAUGCAGAAACGCCGCGAGCGGGAUAACGGCCUUCGGGGUGUAAACAGAUGUGGAAGGUGACGAAGAGGGAGUGACGGUAAUGGGUAAAGAAGCAACGGCUAACUACGUG
rnacentral:rRNA from 1 species